GGCGAACGGGUGAGUAACACGUGGGUGAUCUGCCCUGCACUUCGGGAUAAGCUUGGGAAACUGGGUCUAAUACCGGAUAGGAGCCAUCUUUAGUGUGGUGGUUGGAAAGUUUUUUCGGUGUAGGAUGAGCUCGCGGCCUAUCAGCUUGUUGGUGGGGUAAUGGCCUACCAAGGCGGCGACGGGUAGCCGGCCUGAGAGGGUGUACGGCCACAUUGAGACUGAGAUACGGCCCAG
rnacentral:rRNA from 1 species